rnacentral:rRNA from 1 species
AACCUGCCCAAGAGAUCGGGAUAACACCUGGAAACAGAUGCUAAUACCGGAUAACAACAGAUGAUGCCUAUCAACUGUUUAAAAGAUGGUUCUGCUAUCACUAUUGGAUGGACCUGCGGUGCAUUAGCUAGUUGGUAGGGUAACGGCCUACCAAGGCGAUGAUGCAUAGCCGAGUUGAGAGACUGAUCGGCCACAUUGGGACUGAGACACGGCCCAAACUCCUACGGGAGGCAGCAGAA